ensembl:lncRNA
UUGCAUCCUGACCAUCACUCAGUGUGUUGGCUAUCUUUCCCAGCUUUGUGUUUUCUGCCCAUUUGAUUAGUGUGCCAUCUUUAUUCAAGUUAUCGAUAAAAUGUCAAAUCACCUCCAGCCUACGCAUAAAUUCUGUCAGGGAGGGGGAAAAUCACUCCCUGCUAAGAAGUCUAUUCCACUUUUGACCUCCUGCUCCAGCCUUGUUGCCAUCAGGGGGAGUCUAAACCUGACUUCUUCAUUUGAGGAUUCUCCUGCCCCUUCCCCACAUUCUCAGAGCCUAGCUCUAAUGACUCCAGGCCCCAGCUGUCAGCUCAUGCUGGCAUAAGACCAUCCCAUAUAAUAUAGGAUCAGGUUUCUUUCCAUGAGUGGGCAGCUAUUUCCCCUAGGACCUUCGGAGACUCAUUUGAAUGAGUAGAAAUGCUUGUCCCUAAUAUUUCCUAUCCAUCCUUGCAGGCCAGGAACUUUACCCUGGAAAUGCCCAAAUCAGGAGGUAUAGCCCCAAAGGAACCUCCACAGGAGCCCAUCCUCUUCACUGGGGGCAGGAUCAUUGUAAAAGGGAGUCCUGAGCCGCUGAGCCUUCAGGAAUUGAGCCUUGCCGCCUGUCUGCCACUUAAUGGGAGGCUACAGAGACCCAAACAGCGGAAAGCAUCAGUGUCAGAGUGAUCACAUUACCCGGGCUUGGCGUCCUCUACCAUGUCGAGGAGGAACAGCGAUUCUUGUUUUCAGAAGAGGAGCCGAGGGAAGAGGAUGACGACGAAAAAUCUUCCAACCCAUCAUGAGGCGGCGAGGAAGAUGAGAGGCUUUGGCUGCCAAAUCAGGAGGCCUGGGCCCCAGUCCUGGUGCAGCCACUUGUAGAUAGCCUGGGGGACCUUGGCCAAGGCUGUUCUAUUUCUCUGGGUCUUAGUUUACUCACCUGUGAAAUGAGGGGGUUGGGGAGUAAGGUGCCUCGGAAAGAGGACCUGGGUUUAAAUCUUGUGUCUGUCGUUUACUUCCUGUGUGACCUUGGAGAGUUUAUUACUUGUCUCUGGGCCUCAGUUUCCUUUUCUGUGGAACGAGGGGCAAAGCCAUUUUACAUGCAUUAUCUCAUUUGAGCCCCAUGAUAGAGUCUAUGAUGUGGGUGUUACAAACGGUAUUAUCUCCAUUUUGCAUAUGAGGAGACUGAGCAUAGAUGUCAGAAGCGGUAUUUGAAUCCAGGUCUUCCUGACUCCCAGGCCACCACUCCAUACAUUCUGCCGUGAUGCUGGAAUGGGCCAACUUUAGGUGGGGAAGGAGAGAGGGGAGUGGAAUGAGAUUUGGGAGGAGGGAGGACUAGCUUUGGGGAAAGCAUAUGCCAUGAAUCCAAUCCUGUGAAUUAUUCAGAAGUGCUGAGAGCUGACUCACUCCACAGUCUGGUUUCUUCUGAAAACUGGCCAAAGAUCUCUGACAGUAACAGCUCUGCUCCUGCCUGACUCUGUCUCUGUGAUUUUGCCUCUCUCUCACUCUCUCUCUCUCUGUCUUCUCUCUGUCUCUGUCUCUCUCUUUUCUCUUUCUGUCUUCUCUCUGUCUUUGUCUCUCUCUCUUUUCUCUCUCUCUCUGUCUUCUCUCUGCCUCUGUCUCUCUGUCUCUGUCUUCUCUCUCUCUUGUCUUCUCUCUGUCUCAUCUCCCUUUCUCUGUUCCCUUCAGUUAAUCUUUCACUUUUUUAUUCUUGUUACUCUCUAGAUUUCUGGUCCUCUUUCCCAUCCUGUCUCUCUUUUCUGUCUCUAUCUCUGAGUCUUUGUUCUCAGUCUCUCUCUUUGAGUUUCAUUCUAUCUCUGUGAAAUGGUCUGAGAAGAAGUCUCUUCACAGUUUUUCUCAGGCUCUGGGCACAUCUAACUUCUGACUCUCUAUCUUCCUCCUUCCUCCCUCCAUUAAGAAUUAUUGUCUAGGGGCUGCAGAGCAAAGUGACAAGGUGCUCAAGGUCCUUACCUUAUAUUAAAUGUGGCCUUUCCAACCUCCUGCUGUAUAGGACCAGGACCUAGGCACAAUUAGGCACAAACUGAAGCUCUCUCUUUGGGUGCUACUAGGCAUUCCCCAAAGGAAAGGGACCAGACACUCUACAGUAGGGCCUAGCUAGGCCUGGAGAUAGACCUAUGUUUCUCUAUAUUUUCCAAAAUGCUUUGAAAUAAACCAUUAUGUAAGAUCCUC